ensembl:snoRNA
AAGACUAUACUUUCAGGGAUCAUUUCUAUAGUUUGUGACUUGAGAAAUGUGUUUCUAAUCUGUAUGGUCUCGCUAACCACGAUGAAGAGUAGGUGAUACUCUAUCCUGAGCGGGAAGCUUGCAAAGAAAGGUGACCGACGUCACGUGUUCCUUGCAUUUGAUGACCGUUCACUGUCUCCUUGGAGACAGCGAGGGCUGGAGUAUGAUCAGAGUGGUU